GCGACCGGCGCACGGGUGAGUAACACGUAUCCAACCUGCCGAUGACUCGGGGAUAGCCUUUCGAAAGAAAGAUUAAUACCCGAUGGCAUAGUUCUUCCGCAUGGUAGAACUAUUAAAGAAUUUCGGUCAUCGAUGGGGAUGCGUUCCAUUAGGUUGUUGGCGGGGUAACGGGCCCACCAAGCCUUCGAUGGAUAGGGGGUUCUGAGAGGAAGGUCCCCCCACAUUGGAACUGAGACACGGUCCAAACUCCUACGGGAGGCAGCAUG
rnacentral:rRNA from 1 species